rnacentral:rRNA from 1 species
GACGAACGCUGGCGGCGUGCUUAACACAUGCAAGUCGAACGAUGAAGAAAAGAAUCGCAGCUUCGGCAGAAAUUCAUUUCGGAUUAGUGGCAGACGGGUGAGUAACGCGUGAGCAACCUACCUCUUACAAAGGGAUAGCCUCGGGAAACCGGGAUUAAUACCAUAUAACAUUGUGACGAAGCAUUUCGAUGCAAUCAAAGCUACGGCGGUAAGAGAUGGGCUCGCGUCCCAUUAACCGGAUGGUGAGGUAACGGCUCACCAUAGUGACGAUGGGUAACCGGCCUGAGAGGGUGAACGGUCACACUGGAACUGAGACACGGUCCAGACUCCUACGGGAAGCAGCAGUGGGGAAUAUUGCACAAUGGAGGGAACUCUGAUGCAGCGACGCCGCGUGAGUGAUGAAGGAAUUCGUUUCGUAAAACUCUGUUCUAUGGGAAGAAAAGGACUGUACCAUAGGAGAAAGCUCCGGCUAAAUACGUG